rnacentral:rRNA from 1 species
GACAGAGGGUGCGAACGUUGUUCGGAAUUACUGGGCGUAAAGCGCGUGUAGGCGGCUUGGCAAGUCGGGUGUGAAAGCCCUGGGCGCAACCCAGGAAGUGCAUUCGAAACUGCAGAGCUGGAGUCCUGGAGAGGAAGGCGGAAUUCUCGGUGUAGAGGUGAAAUUCGUAGAUAUCGAGAGGAACACCGGUGGCGAAGGCGGCCUUCUGGACAGUGACUGACGCUGAGGCGCGAAAGCCAGGGGAGCAAACGGG